rnacentral:tRNA from 1 species
UAAAAAUUAGUUAAUUUAUAACCUAAGUUUGUCAGACUUAAAUUAUUAGAGACCUAAUAUUUUUAA